rnacentral:rRNA from 1 species
GACGAACGCUGGCGGCGUGCUUAACACAUGCAAGUCGAACGGAAAGGCCCUGCUUUUGUGGGGUGCUCGAGUGGCGAACGGGUGAGGAACACUUGAGUAACCUGCCCUUGACUUUGGGAUAACUUCAGGAAACUGGGGCUAAUACCGGAUAGGAGCGCCUGCUGCAUGGUGGGGGUUGGAAAGUUUCGGCGGUUGGGGAUGGACUCGCGGCUUAUCAGCUUGUUGGUGGGGUAGUGGCUUACCAAGGCUUUGACGGGUAGCCGGCCUGAGAGGGUGACCGGCAACAUUGGGACUGAGAUACGGCCCAGACUCCUACGGGAGGCAGCAGUGGGGAAGAUUGCACAAUGGGCGGAAGCCUGAUGCAGCAACGCCGCGUGCGGGAUGACGGCCUUCGGGUUGUAAACCGCUUUCGCCUGUGACGAAGCGUGAGUGACGGUAAUGGGUAAAGAAGCACCGGCUAACUACGUG